rnacentral:rRNA from 1 species
CGUUCCCGGGCCUUGUACACACCGCCCGUCACACCACGAAAGCUGGCAACACCCGAAGCCGGUGGCCUAACCUUUUGGAGGGAGCCGUCGAAGGUGGGGCUUGUGAUUGGGGUG